CCCUUAGAUGUUCUGGGCCGCACGCGCGCUACACUGACGAAUGCAACGAGCUUAUAACCUUGGCCGAAAGGUCUGGGUAAUCUCCAAAUUUCGUCGUGAUGGGGAUAGAUUAUUGCAAUUAUUAAUCUUCAACGAGGAAUGCCUAGUAAGCGCAAGUCAUCAGCUUGCGUUGAUUACGUCCCUGCCCUUUGUACACACCGCCCGUCGCUCCUACCGAUUGAAUGGUCCGGUGAAGCGCUCGGACCGCGGCCUCUUGACGGUUCGCUGUCGAUUGGCUGUGGGAAGUUCGUUAAACCUCAUCAUUUAGAGGAAGGAGAAGUCGUAACA
rnacentral:rRNA from 1 species